rnacentral:pre_miRNA from 1 species
AACAUACUCCCUCCGUCCGAAAAUACUUGUCAUCAAAAUGAACAAAAAAGGAUGUAUCUAGAACUAAAAUACAUCUAGAUACAUCCCCUUUUAUUCGUUUUGAUGACAAGUAUUUUCGGACGGAGGGAGUAUGUG